rnacentral:rRNA from 1 species
GGCCUGGUGGUCAUGGCGGGGAGAAAUGCACCCGAUCCCAUCCCGAACUCGGCCGUGAAACUCCCCAGCGCCAAUGGUACUCCGUCUCAAGACGCGGGAGAGUAGGUCGCCGCCAGGCCU